rfam:Echinostoma caproni strain Egypt genome assembly, scaffold: ECPE_scaffold0005528
GCACUACUGAAGAGACCAAACCAGGUCGAAACAGCUGGCCAGUGC